GACGAACGCUGGCGGCGUGCUUAACACAUGCAAGUCGAACGGAAAGGCCCUGCUUGCCGGGUGCUCGCGUGGCGAACGGGUGAGUAACACGCGUGUGAUCUGCCCCUUACUUUGGGAUACGCCUGGUAAACUGGGUCUAUUACUCGACAGGACCAUGCUGUAGGUGGUGUGGUGGAGAGAUUAGUUUCGGUAAGGGAUGAGCUCGCGGCCUAUCCGCUUGUUGGUGGGGUAAUGGCCUACCAAGGCGUCGACGGGUAGCCGGCCUGAGAGGGUGGACGGCCGCAUUGGGACUGAGAUACGGCGCAGACGCCUACGGGAGGCAGCAGUGGGGAAGAUUGGACAAUGGGAGCAAGCGUGAUGCAGCGACGCCGCGUGGGGGAGGACGGGCUUCGGGUUGUAAGCUCCUUUCAGCCAUGACGAAGCGCUUGUGGUGACGGUAGUGGUAGAAGAAGCACCGGCUAACUACGUG
rnacentral:rRNA from 1 species